rnacentral:rRNA from 1 species
GUGUUAUAUGUGUCACACAGGACUUGCUGGUAUUAAGCCGGAGGAAGGUGGGACGACGUCAAGUCAGCAUGACCUUUAUAUCCAGGGCUACACACACGCUACAAUGGUCAGUACAAUGGGUUGCCAAGCCGCGAGGCGGAGCCAAUCCUAAAAGCUGGCCUCAGUUCAGAUUGCAGUCUGAAACUCGACUGCAUGAAGUCGGAGUUGCUAGUAAACGCAGGUCAGCUAUACUGCGUUGAAUACGUUCCCGGGGCUU